UCCCGCCGCGUCAGGGCCGCAGGAGCCGCUCUCUUCCGCGCCCGGGUCCUGAGGGGCCACACAGUCCUCGACGUCCUGCAUGUUGCUGGAAUUGAACUCAGGAUGCUGCACUUGCCAGGAAGGCGCUAUGCCGCUGAGCUAAAUCCCCAGCCCCUGGUCAUCCUUGAUUAGAUGCCUGAUGCUAUGAAUGGUACCUUAUAAAUGAAAAAUGCAGACUCAGUGCCUGUUCAGCAGAAGCCACAUUCAGUGUCACCGCCAGAGCCUUCUUGGAUCCCUGGGACAUGUGACCUCAGAGCAGGCCUGGCCUCGGUUUCCUCGCCUGUAAAGGGAGCUUGAGAUGCGUGCUGCUGCGUGGGACCCAUGAGAGGCCGCCACAGUGUGAAGACGCCGAGGACCCGAGUGCACCUCUGCCCGUGGGAUGCUGCUGCUCGGCGCCCACUGAGACCUUUAACAUCCUUUCUCUGCGACAAACAAGGAUGGGCUGGGGGUGCUGGGGGUUUAGCUCAGUGGCACAGCGCCUGCCCGGCAAGCGCAAGGUCGUGAGUUCGAUCCCCGGUACUGGGCUAGGAACGCACCAGCCUCUGGCUAACAGUCCAGGGCUGUUUAUGUUUCUUGUUUCACUUUCCUUCCUCAAACCAGCAUAUUACACCCCUGAGAGUCAAAACUGUACUUUUCCAAGCUUAUCUGGUUCAAGUUUGUCAAAAAUGAAUACAGAGUCUAAAAAACAAAGUAAUUUAAAAGACCUACUGUUUCCUUUAUCAUAAUUUACCAAGCUCUACAUUUUUAGCGUGGUUUUCCAUAUGUAUGUCUAAUUUUAUGAUAUAAAAAAACCUACAAGAAAAGGAAGAAAAAUCAUAUUAAUUAUACAUGUGUUUUUGUCCUCGUCCAUAUCCCCCACCUGAAUCACUGCCCCUUUUUUUGACCUUUUUUAGACGGAACAGAUAAAUGGGACUGGAACUGGUUUCAGCCAAAGGGAGGGCUUCUUUGAGGGUAGGGUUGAUUUUUUUCAGAGUAUCUUUGACAAGCACUUGUGUUAAUGAAAGCAGUCUUCUCAUGACAGAUCAGAACCUGGCUUUUACGGCAU